rnacentral:lncRNA from 1 species
AUGGCUUUAAGGUCGAUAAAAAAUUCUGAAAUCCCAUUUUUAAUUGAAACUCUUUCGGGGCUCCGUGGGGACAUGAUAUAAAAGCCAAAAUUCAUCAGAAAAAGGGUAGAACGUCCAGGGAGAAGAAGAAUACAACUUUUGGAGACAAGGAACACAAACUUGAAGCCGAUUUCACAAGGAUUCAAAGGGGUUUUCAAGGUUUUGUUCAAGAAUUCAGAUUUCAAGAACUUUCAUACGGGUGUUAUUCCUUCUAGUCAUUAAUUUC